rnacentral:rRNA from 1 species
CAGCCGCCGCGGUAAUACGUAGGGUGCAAGCGUUAAUCGGAAUUACUGGGUGUAAAGCGUGCGCAGGCGGUUUGUUAAGACAGAUGUGAAAUCCCCGGGCUUAACCUGGGAACUGCAUUUGUGACUGGCAAGCUAGAGUAUGGCAGAGGGGGGUGGAAUUCCGCGUGUAGCAGUGAAAUGCGUAGAUAUGCGGAGGAACACCGAUGGCGAAGGCAGCCCCCUGGGCCAAUACUGACGCUCAUGCACGAAAGCGUGGGGAGCAAACAGGAUUAGAUACCCCUGUAGUCCCUGUCUCUUAUAC